AUACUUACCUGGUGCCAGGACCUAGUUGGUCACCGAGGACGAGCCCCUAGGGCGAGGCACGAACAUUGCGCUGCGCUCGCGUUCACCCCUGCCACUACCCCAAACUGGGGCAGAUGGGACAUGCAAAUUGCUUAAAUCCGGUUCGACGCAAGAGAGGGCGCCACCGCU
rnacentral:snRNA from 1 species